rnacentral:rRNA from 1 species
UCAGGCCUAACACAUGCAAGUCGAACGGUAACUUUUGGUGCUUGCACCGAAAGACGAGUGGCGAACGGGUGCGUAACGCGUAUGCAAUCUGCCUUUUACUAGGGUAUAGCCCAGAGAAAUUUGGAUUAAUCCCCUAUAAUAUCAUUUAAUCGCAUGAUUUUAUGAUUAAAGCUUCGGCGGUAAAAGAUGAGCAUGCGUCCUAUUAGUUAGUAGGUGAGGUAACGGCUCACCUAGACUCCGAUAGGUAGGGGUCCUGAGAGGGAGAUCCCCCACACUGGUACUGAGACACGGACCAGACUCCUACGGGAGGCAGCAGUGAGGAAUAUUGGACAAUGGACGAAAGUCUGAUCCAGCUAUGCCGCGUGCAGGAUGACGGCCCUAUGGGUUGUAAACUGCUUUUAUACGGGAAGAAAAACACCGACGUGUCGGAACUUGACGGUACUGUAAGAAUAAGAUCGGCUAACUCCGUGCCAGCAGCCGCGGUAAUACGGAGGAUCCAAGCGUUAUCCGGAAUCAUUGGGUUUAAAGGGUCCGUAGGCGGUUUUUUAAGUCAGAGGUGAAAUCCUGCAGCUCAACUGUAGAAUUGCCUCUGAUACUGAAAGACUUGAGUUAUUGUGAAGUGGUUAGAAUGUGUGGUGUAGCGGUGAAAUGCAUAGAUAUCACACAGAAUACCAAUUGCGAGGCAGAUCACUAACAAUAU